rnacentral:misc_RNA from 1 species
GAAAUGCGAUAAGUAAUGUGAAUUGCAGAAUUCAGUGAAUCAUCGAAUCUUUGAACGCACCUUGCGCUCCUUGGUAUUCCUUGGAGCAUGCCUGUUUGAGUAUCAUGAAAUCUUCAAAGUAAAUCUUUUGUUAACUCAAUUGGUUUCUACUUUGGUAUUGGAGGUCUUUGCAGCUUCACACCUGCUCCUCUUUGUUCAUUAGCUGGAUCUCAGUGUUAUGCUUGGUUCCACUCGGCGUGAUAAGUUAUCUAUCGCUGAGGACACUGUAAAAGGUGGCCAAGUUAAAUGCAGAUGAACCGCUUCUAAUAGUCCAUUCACUUGGACAAUACUUUUAUGAUCUGAUCUCAAAUCAGGUAGGACUACCCGCUGAACUUAAGC